rnacentral:lncRNA from 1 species
CGCGCCUGCUCUGUAGAGGUCCAGGUCUGUGUACACAGGAUGUCUGCAGCCUGGUCCAACAGCUAUCUAUAUCUCUGACCCAGUUGUGCCUUCUGCUCCUCGUUUUGCCUUCUCUUUGCUUGUAAUGGCGAGCUCCCACACACACUGUGAAGGACUCUUUAGACCAGAUUGUCUGUCUUUCUGCUCAGCAGCUCCAGCUGCCCGAAGUACCCAGAAGAGGUCCUGAGACGCCAUUGAAGUCACUGUUCCUAACACAGCAGCAAAGGAGAACAAACUUUACCCGACACCUCUCUCUGCUGGCGUGUAGGACCCAGAUAUCAGAAGCACAGAGUCUAACUAAAGCAGCCAAGCCCCAGAGCCAAUCUGAUAACGUUAACCUGCCAACAAAAUGACUCAGGGUGACGUUUGAUGAGGCACUCCCUUCUCGUCAGAGAUUCCUGUUUCAGUCAACUCUCCAGGGUGAACAGUCUCCUGCCCAAAAGAGAAACAUCAACGCAUGAGAAAG